rnacentral:misc_RNA from 1 species
GUUGAAUGCACGAAACAAAUGAAUAUUAUUUUACAAUUGAUAUAUUGAACUUAUAAACCUAUUCCACUCUUCUUGAACAUUUUAUUUACAAGAUUUAACUAGAAAUAUUUAAUAAGAGUCUGAGAAAACUAAUCCCUCGAGUCGAAUGCUUCCGCAAUGCCUUUAAAAACUAAAAGAAAAUAAAUAAACGAGAGGGGUCGACGCCGUCAUUACUCAUACAAAUAUGGUAAGGUCCCAGAUGACAAGUGAAAUCGGUGCGGUGCUUACCGGAUAUGACACAAUUACCAUGAUGGUAAUGUCACACUGCAAAAUACUAGUAGUAUUCUUAUCAGUGGAUGCAUAUAAAUCCCCUUCUUAAUUUUUGCGACAAUCUAGGGGAAAAUUAAUCCCUGAAAAACUAUACAACUUAGUAAACACAAAAUAUCAACUAUAAGAGCAUACUCACUAGACGACUGAUCA